rnacentral:rRNA from 1 species
UGAGGAAUAUUGGUCAAUGGGCGAGAGCCUGAACCAGCCAAGUAGCGUGCGGGAUGACGGCCCCCCGGGUUGUAAACUGCUUUUAGUUGGGAAUAAAAAAAGGGGCUUGUCCCUUCUUGUAUGUACCUUCAGAAAAAGGACCGGCUAAUUCCGUGCCAGCAGCCGCGGUAAUACGGAAGGUCCAGGCGUUAUCCGGAUUUAUUGGGUUUAAAGGGAGCGUAGGCGGAUUGUUAAGUCAGCGGUUAAAGGGUGUGGCUCAACCAUGCAUUGCCGUUGAAACUGGCGAUCUUGAGUGCAGACAGGGAUGCCGGAAUUCGUGGUGUAGCGGUGAAAUGCCUAGAUAUCGCGAAGAACUCCGAUCGCGAAGGCAGGUGUCCGGGCUGCAACUGACGCUGAGGCUCGAAAGUGUGGGUAUCAAACAGGAUUAGAUACCCUGGUAGUCCACACAGUAAACGAUGUAUACUCGCGGUUUGCGAUAGAGUGUAAGCCGCCAAGCGAAAGCAUUAAGUAUACCACCUGGGGAGUACGCCGGCAACGGUG